AACAAUGAUGGAAAAUGACAGAUCUGGAAAAAACACAGAUGAGCUGCUCUCUGUAGAUGUGGAUGAGGAGGUUGAUGUUUACGGGGUUAUACCUCUGGCUUUGUCCCGUGAUCACUGUGAUGUACUACUGGACGUAAUAGACACACAACUGAGUCAUCUACAGAUCCACAGCCAAAGCAAAAUGCAUAGAGCAAACUCCACGAGAUAUGAAUUUCCUUUCUUGGGCUAUCUUGAUCGGAGUCAGUCUGUAAGUAAAGACACAGGCUUGUGGAGCACUGUUCCAACCAAUGAUAAAACACCAUCCAACCUUGACGGGACUCAGUCAGAAGGCAAAGAUGACAAAACAGAGCAUCAGACAAUGGAGAUGAUAAAGUUUGGCGUCGCAGCUACAGAUGUGUGGUGUCCUGAGGAAAGUGGCAGCUUGAGCUCCGUGUCCAGUGUUGUUGGAGACUGGAGAGGCUUCUUGGGAGAAAUGCUGAGGUGGCAGGGAUGGGAAACGAGGAGGAUGAUGUCACAAUGGACAGCGUCUGCACUGAGGACUUCUCAACAUGUUUUGGGGAGGAAAUAUUGGUCCUGCCAGCCUCAGAGGCUGGAUGAGGUGAAUCAGGAACUGGGGCAGAGCGAGGAGGACUGAAGGGCUCUCCGACAGAAAUGCACUGAGCUGAAGGAGCAGCUGGCUGAUACGAUCAGAGAAAAAGAACAAAUAAAGGAGGUUCUCACUUUUGUUUCUUCUUUUAA
ensembl:lncRNA